AGCAUAUCAAUAAGCGGAGGAAAAGAAACCAACAGGGAUUGCCCCAGUAACGGCGAGUGAAGCGGCAACAGCUCAAAUUUGAAAUCUGGCUCUCAGGGCCCGAGUUGUAAUUUGUAGAGGAUGCUUUUGGCGAGGUGCCUUCCGAGUUCCCUGGAACGGGACGCCACAGAGGGUGAGAGCCCCGUAUGGUCGGACACCGAGCCUCUGUAAAGCUCCUUCGACGAGUCGAGUAGUUUGGGAAUGCUGCUCAAAAUGGGAGGUAUAUGUCUUCUAAAGCUAAAUAUUGGCCAGAGACCGAUAGCGCACAAGUAGAGUGAUCGAAAGAUGAAAAGCACUUUGAAAAGAGGGUUAAAAAGUACGUGAAAUUGUUGAAAGGGAAGCGCCUAUGACCAGACUUGCGCCCGGUGAAUCACCCAGCGUUCUCGCUGGUGCACUUUGCCGGGCACAGGCCAGCAUCAGUUCAGCGCGGGGGAGAAAGGCUUCGGGAAUGUGGCUCCCUCGGGAGUGUUAUAGCCCGCUGCGUAAUGCCCUGCGCCGGACUGAGGUACGCGCAUUGCAAGGAUGCUGGCGUAAUGGUCAUCAGCGACCCGUCUUGAAACACGGACCAAGGAGUCGUCUUCGUAUGCGAGUGUUCGGGUGUCAAACCCCUACGCGUAAUGAAAGUGAACGCAGGUGAGAGCUUCGGCGCAUCACCGACCGAUCCUGAUGUUCUCGGAUGGAUUUGAGUAAGAGCAUACGGGGCCGGACCCGAAAGAAGGUGAACUAUGCCUGUAUAGGGUGAAGCCAGAGGAAACUCUGGUGGAGGCUCGCAGCGGUUCUGACGUGCGAAUCGAUCGUCAAAUAUGGGCAUGGGGGCGAAAGACUAAUCGAA
rnacentral:rRNA from 1 species